rnacentral:rRNA from 1 species
UACAGAGGGUGCGAGCGUUGUCCGGAAUCACUGGGCGUAAAGGGCGCGUAGGUGGCCUGGUAAGUAGGGGGUGAAAUCCCGAGGCUCAACUUCGAGGCUGCCUCCUAAACUGUCAGGCUUGAGCAGAGUAGAGGCUGGUGGAAUUCCCGGAGUAGUGGUGAAAUGCGUAGAGAUCGGGAGGAACACCGGUGGCGAAGGCGGCCAGCUGGCCCUGACCUGACGCUGAGGCGCGAAGGCGUGGGGAGCGAACGGG